AUUGAACGCUGGCGGCAUGCCUUACACAUGCAAGUCGAACGGUAACAGGUUAAGCUGACGAGUGGCGCGCGGGCGAGUAAUGUAUCGGAACGUGCCCAGUCGUGGGCGUUAACUGCUCGAAAGAGCAGCUAAUACCGCAUACGACCUGAGGGUGAAAGCGGGGGAUCGCAAGUCCUCGCGCGAUUGGAGCGGCGGGUUCCCGAUUAGGUAGUUGGUGGGGUAAAGGCUCACCAAGGCGACGAUCUGUAGCUGGUCUGAGAGGGUGACCAGCCACACUGGAACUGAGACACGGCCCAGACUCCUACGGGAGGCAGCAGUGGGGAAUUUUGGACAAUGGGCGCAAGCCUGAUCCAGCCAUGCCGCGUGCGGGAAGAAGGCCUUCGGGUUGUAAACCGCUUUUAUCAGGGAAGAAAAGGUUCUGGCUAAUACCUGGGACUCAUGACGGUACCUGAAGAAUAAGCACCGGCUAACUACGUG
rnacentral:rRNA from 1 species